rnacentral:rRNA from 1 species
GACGAACGCUGGCGGCGUGCUUAACACAUGCAAGUCGAACGGAAAGGCCCUGCUUUUGUGGGGUGCUCGAGUGGCGAACGGGUGAGUAACACGUGAGUAACCUGCCCUUGACUUUGGGAUAACUUCAGGAAACUGGGGCUAAUACCGGAUAGGAGCUCCUGCUGCAUGGUGGGGGUUGGAAAGUUUCGGCGGUUGGGGAUGGACUCGCGGCUUAUCAGCUUGUUGGUGGGGUAGUGGCUUACCAAGGCUUUGACGGGUAGCCGGCCUGGGAGGGUGACCGGCCACAUUGGGACUGAGAUACGGCCCAGACUCCUACGGGAGGCAGCAGUGGGGAAUAUUGCACAAUGGGCGGAAGCCUGAUGCAGAAACGCCGCGUGCGGGAGGACGGCCUUCGGGUUGUAAACCGCUUUCGCCUGUGACGAAGCGUGAGUGACGGUAAUGGGUAAAGAAGCACCGGCUAACUACGU